UCUCAUCCAGUUAAAAGAAGAAAACAAUAUAAUAGGAAAUACAGUGGUUUUGCCUAGACGCUUUUUCACAGUGGUCAUAAGUUAGAAAUGGCUCAGCAGAAAAUUAAUGCGGUCAUAUCUCUCCAAAGCCGACGUGGAUAGCAAAGAAACAUCGGCAAAAAAAACAACCAACACCUGAUGCUAAGGACGUUAGCCACCAUGACCGAACAGUUAAGCUAGCAAGCUAGUGCUAAUUGGCAACUUUGGUACAGAGAAACAUAACUACCUUGGACAAGGAAAAAAGAGACUCGCCAUGGUUUCAAAAGGUGGCAACUAUGGAUGCAAAGUUUGCCUAACCCUAGUUAUAGUAAAUUCUUCACAUUCAACACUCAAAGAUUGUGACUAUCAGAAUAAUCGCGCAUUUUUACAGUCACAUGUAACAAUAACGAUAAGGAGCGCAGAGGUUACAAAGAAGAUGCCGAAGAAGGUGUGGACAAAAUAACCUGACCUGAGUGAGUGACGUUUCAACUUAAAAUCCUAAAAUCAUCAGCUCAACAGUGACAUAUAGGCCUAUGCACUUAGCAGAAUAGAUGACAAGAGAGAGAAGAAGUAAAUCAGUGACCGGAGAUAAAGAAGACACAGCAAUACAGAUGCAUUAUAUCAGUAAUGCACAACAUUCACAGGACCUCAUGAUAAUAGGCUCGUCGGGACACAGAGAAAGGAGCGAGACGCUUGUCAGAGUGGAUACAUCCGUGCCUGACCCGAGGGAGAUGGCUCAGUGCACGACACAUCAGUUACAGGACACCGAGAGACCCUCUCCCCCCUCCUCGCAGGCUAAUGGUUGUCAAGUUAGUGAGGGCCUGUGCUCUUGUCUGGGCCGGGCCUGUUGUCAUGUGAAAUCCAUUAGAGGUCGCAAGCACACAGGAUGGGCGGUCGAUUGAUAAGGCAGGAGGAGAAGUGAGGCAGAAGCAGGGGAAGAAAUGAGAAGCUUUUUAUCUCCCAACUGUACUGUACUCUCCUUGAGGACUUUGUAAAGAAAACUGAAGUAGAGUGGAAAAUUGAUGGCGAUGUCUUACAUUAUUAUUGUACUUCCGAGCAAUGGCUUGAAAGAUUGUAUUCUGAAAUGGUAAGACAGUUAAAAAUAGUCUCCUAUGUAAUCCAAAACAAAAUUGAAGUUAUCUUGCUGUCAACAAAGAUAGAAGAAAUAAAGUUGUUUGAGUCCAAUAUAAUAUCCUCUAAAAUGGUCAUAUUACAUCCCAAAUCCACCAGUGAAAGUAUUUCAACUAACACUCACACAUUGCAAUAAUCGCCAAUGGCAACCUAAAUGCUAUUCUCAAACAAAGUUUUCCCUUAGUUUACCGAUAAUCUGUUCAUCAUUUAACUUGUUUAUUCUUUUUCUAUUCUUUUUUAAUUCAUAGCCUGUCUUCCAAAAUGUGAAAACUUCUUCCAAAUCUUAUUUCUCAAGACUUGACACUGCUACAAACUGUGGAAGCGUUGCCUUCAGUGACAGCACACUAAGUCAUACUGUGGGUUUCUUGAUUACAUUAAUUCACAGGCAAUUUAGUGGGAAGCCACCGGAUAGUUGAGAACCAAUCCAUAUGCUAUUUAUUUUCUGCCUAUUUUUUCAUUUAUUAUAUUUUAUGCGCAAGGGACCCUGUGAACACCCAUCUUUCUGUCGAAUCAGUCAAGGCAGCAGCAUCAUUUUCUCUUUUCUUUUCCUUUUUUACCUCCGAGCACAUUAAGUAGGUUUCUUUCUUUAAAGUGUCAUUAAUAAUCAAUCCUGCAUUCUAUUUUUCAUGCCUUCAUAUAUGAAUGAUAAUUAUUAUCUUUCACUGUCACACAAAUGUAAAAGGCGGUACAAUGCCUCAUUAAAAAAAAAAAAAA